rnacentral:tRNA from 1 species
GGGAAUGUAGCUCAGUGGUUGAGCACUUGUCUGUCUUGUGUGAGGACCUGGGUUCAACCCCCAGCUUGUUUA